rnacentral:lncRNA from 1 species
AUGAUGGCAAGAUCAAGGAAUUGUUCUUUGUAUAUACCUGAAGGUGGAGCCGAAGAGAAGAUCAUGGAAAAUGGGGCACGGUUCCAAGGCAACUCUUUGUUCAUGGAUGUGGUCCAUAAUGGAGGGAAGAUAAUGAGAAUUUGGCUCGUAAUUAAGAAGCAGCAUGGUGCAGUCGAAAUUGGAAUCAGAGGACCUAUGGUAAGUUCUACUUCUGAUUUGGCUCUUUAUAGCCUUGUGAUUGUAGAUGAGUCAGAUUAAUGACUCUUGGGAUCAGUUGCCUCAAAUGUAAAAUGAAGAUCAUAGUGAUUCCUGACUACUUCACAGGGUUGUUAUGAGGGCUAAAUGAGAUUAUAUAUGGGAAAGAACUUUGUCAUCAGACUGGCUAGAUAACAUUUGAAGGAUUGUUAUUUUUCAGUCUUGGUUUGAUGAAGAGAACAGUGCUUUUUCUAGUCCUGGAAAAUAAAAUGGGCUUGCUCUUUGUGCUGAAUUCUUAC